AUGAUCCAAUGAUGAGAGUGUGUCAUGAAUCAAGGAUUAUAAUUAAUUCAUUUCUAUGUACCUGAGGUCCUUA
rnacentral:snoRNA from 10 species